rnacentral:tRNA from 1 species
UAAAUUAAAGCCAAAAAGAGGCAUUUUAUUGUUAAUAAAAUAAUUGAAUUAAAACAUUCUAAUUUAA